UAAAAAAAGCACGCCACGGUGUGGCGGCCAAUGAGGGCGCGAGCUACUCCAACGUCAGCGCGCGCCUGGCCGUGUUUGUCUUUCAAAACUGUUGCCCCGCCCACUAGCCACAGUCGCGUUGGCCCACGCUCGAGGAGACGAAACAAACGGUUGGGAACGACACGAUUCUAUUGGAGGACAAGAACGUCAAUCAGCGAGAGGAGGCGUCCUUGUCGCGAGCGCGCACGCAGUUCGGAGAGAGGCCGUCCAACUUUUUGAAUUCAUAUUUAAAACGACAAUAACCGUUUCCCAAAGUCUAUUUAAAGCUGCGCCAAAAAAAUAGAAACCUUCACUUGCCUUUUUUAUUGGUCUGUCUCCUGCAACGGUUAGACCGAAAUGAUACAUUUACAACGGCACGGCCGCUCGAAUUUAGAAAACAAAAUGACGAUCAUACAAAAUAGGUCUGUCAAUGUAGGCGGAGUGGAAUGCGUUCUUUAUAUUUUUAAGAAAAAGCCUUAAGUGCGUUUAAGACAGCGAAGUGUGAAUAAAAUGUAAUUUUCUACAGAGUGCAGUAUGGAGCGGACCUUUUUUUAAAAAAGUGAUGUUACAGUGCGGACAGGUUUAGAUGGCCUCCAUCCACCCUUUACGUUCCUUCACAUGUUUCACAGCUGCUGCCCAGUGACUAAGUGAAUUGCCAAUUUAAAAAAAAAUCAUUGGAACGAUCACUCCACGCUGUCACAUAGGAGCGGGGAAGUUGGAAGAACGCUGGUCAACCAGAUACAACUGAUGAUCUUUGAAGCAAAAACCUAAACGUGCCCAAGGGAAAAAGCAAUGAUAUUUAAGCGAAGAUGGCCAAGAACUGCAGUCUGCCCAGACAAGGCAGAGAGCAAUAGGUGGAAGAGCAAGAUGACAGUGAUGAUGAAUAAACCCCAUCACUUAUCACACUUGAUCUCUCACGGUCUCUUAGCUAUCAGCUCAUACACUGAUACUGCACAUAAUUUAGAUAGCUUAUAAGUGAGAUAUGUACAUGUUGAGGCACUGUGCAUAACUGGUUGGUAGCCAGAUCAGGGGACAAAGAUAUUGCAGGUUGAGUGUAUGAUGCUGGAAAAGCACAGCAAAUCAGGCAGCGUCCGAGG